rnacentral:rRNA from 1 species
UACAGAGGUCUCAAGCGUUGUUCGGAUUCAUUGGGCGUAAAGGGUGCGUAGGCGGCGCGGUAAGUCGGGUGUGAAAUCUCGGAGCUUAACUCCGAAACUGCAUUCGAUACUGCGGUGCUUGAGGACUGGAGAGGAGACUGGAAUUCAUGGUGUAGCAGUGAAAUGCGUAGAGAUCGGGAGGAACACCAGUGGCGAAGGCGGCCUUCUGGACCAAUACUGACGCUCAUGCACGAAAGCGUGGGGAGCAAACAGG